CCUUUGCAGUUUGCCUUCCUGGCUCUGCCCGAGCACCCCUCGAUAUCCCCUCCACCCACAGUUCUCCAACACCUCAUGUCAGGUCGCAUAAAAAUGCGCUUUGUGGAGUAUCUCUUCGCAUGAUUGAAAAUAAAUAUAUUUGAGAACUCUGCGAUCCCUUCAGAGAUAUGUCGCCUGUAAGAAAAAAAUAGGAAGCAUGACUGGGAUAAAGGUGGCGAUGCUUCCCUCAUGACAUGGUCUUCUCCUACGGGAGCAUCAUCUCAAAUGCGAAAUUAUUCAAGGCGGAU